rnacentral:lncRNA from 1 species
UAGAUGUCACCGUAAGAUUACAAACAUCGUUAGAUUACAAUCUAUCUCGAGAGAUUGUAAACUGUCGAAUUAUUGUAAACCGUAACACCUGAUUGCAAUUUAACGCAUUAUUUUUCGCUAUAUUAUAAUCUAUCGAUGAGAAAUUGUCAAAUUGUCAACUGUCCGAAAGCUCUCCCUGAUUGGUCAGUCUUUUUGUAAGAUCGAGAGCGAUGUAGAGCGGUCAAAUUGUCAACUGGCGUAGAACGGAAUGCAUCUUGCGCGCUGAUUGGUAGAACGUCAAAAAAGACAAUGUUCUUUGCAACUCCCGGUGUCACAGCUCUUUGACGUGCAAAAAUAAGUGACGGUUUAAUUUUUUAUAAAAUCAAAAAUUGUACUUAAUUUUUAAGACUCAAAUUACACACAAUUAAAAAUUGAAGUUAGUGACGAAAACGAAUCGCUGCAAAACCGACUCCACGUAGUCUUGUCUGCCCUACCCCUAGAGUGCAAUUCAAAACCGCGUAGGCGCGGAGGGGCGAGGCGGCCUGCGAGCUGAGGCGCAGGUAGUUUCAGCGCUCGCCGCCGCGGCUGAGGCUGGCCGGCAUAGCCGGCCAGCAAGCCGAAGCUGCGGUGGUGACCGUGAAAACCAUCUGCGACGAUAAGCUCGCAUGGGACCGCCGGAGCCCCGCAGCGCCGGAGCCGUGACAGAAGUUAUGCUUGCUGCAUGUUGCAUGCUUACUUCCAUGCUGGAGUUAUUUUUAUAUAAAUUUAAUACUUGAAGAAUUUUUGAA